rnacentral:rRNA from 1 species
UACAGAGGUCCCGAGCGUUGUUCGGAUUCACUGGGCGUAAAGGGUGCGUAGGUGGCCUGAAAAGUUUGAUGUGAAAGCUCAGGGCUUAACCCUGAAAUGGCAUUGAAUACUGUCGGGCUGGAGGUUUGGAGGGGGGACUGGAAUUCUUGGUGUAGCAGUGAAAUGCGUAGAUAUCAAGAGGAACACCAGUGGCGAAGGCGGCCUGCUGGGCAGUGGCUGACGCUGAGGCGCGACAGCGUGGGGAGCAAACAGG